rnacentral:rRNA from 1 species
UACGUAGGGUGCAAGCGUUGUCCGGAAUUAUUGGGCGUAAAGAGCUCGUAGGCGGUUUGUCGCGUCGGAUGUGAAAACCCAGGGCUCAACCCUGGGCCUGCAUUCGAUACGGGCAGACUAGAGUAUGGCAGGGGAGACUGGAAUUCCUGGUGUAGCGGUGAAAUGCGCAGAUAUCGGGAAGGAACACCGGUGGCGAAGGCGGUUCUCUGGGCCUUACCUGACGCUGAGGAGCGAAAGCGUGGGGAGCGAACAGG